UCCGCUUCCCAGGUUUAAGGGAUUCUCAUGCCUCAGCCUCCUGAGUAGCUGGAUCUACAGGCACACGCCACCACGCCCAGCUAGGUUUUUUUGGUAGAGACGGGGUUUCACCCUGUUGGCCAGGCUGGUCUCAAACUCCUGCCCUCAAGUGAUCCGCCUACCUUGGCCUCCCAAAGUGCUGGGAUUAUAGGUGUGAGCCACUGCACUGGGCUUAUUUUUUAUUUUUAUUUUUUUAGAAACAGGGUCUUACUCUGUCACCUAGGCUGGAGUGUAGUGGCAUGAUCAUAGCUCACUGCAACCUCAAACUCCUGAGCUCAAGGUAUCCUCUGUCUCAGCCUCCCAAGUAGCUGAGACUACAGGAAUGUGCCACCAAGCUGGCUAUUUAUUUUAUUUUCUGUAGAACCAAAAAAGGUCUCACUAUGUUCCCUAGGCUGGUCUCGAACUCGUGGCCUCAAGCAAUCCUCCCACCUCAGCCUCCCAAGCACUGGGAUUACAGCACUAUAGGUUUUAAAAGGCAGUGUUCCCAUAAGAAAUAAUGGCAAAGAAAGGAACUCCCAGUCACAUUCAGCAAACCUGUUUUCCCAGCUACAUUCAUGAACUGGUUGAUGCAGGGUCUUACUCUGUCACCUGGCCUGGAGUACAGUGGCACAAUCACGCUUCACUGCAGCCUCAACCUCCCUGGCUCAAGCGAUCUUCCUACCUCAGGCUUCCAAGUAGUUGGGACAGAGUCUGGCUGUCACCCAGGCUGGAGUACAGCGGUGCAAUCUCAGCUCACUGCAAUCUCCGCCUCCUGGAAUCAAGCAAUUCUCCUACCUCAGCCUCCUGAAUAGUUGGGAAUACAGGUACGUGCCACCACACCCGGCUAACUUUUGUAUUUUUAGUAGAGACAGGAUUUCACCAUGUUGGCCAGGCUGGUCUCGAACUCCUGACCUCAAGUGAUCUGCCCACCUUGGCCUCCCAAAGUGCUGGGAUUACAGGCGUGAGCCACCGCACCUAGCCCAUGGUUUUCAUUUGAUCUAAAUAUCUUCACCAUGUUGAAUCUACACAAGAGGACACAUCAGACAAACGCAGAUCAAGGGACAUUCUAUAAAAUAACUGGCCUGUUAUCUUCAAAAGUGGUCAUGAAAGUAAAGGAAAGACUGAGGAACUGUUCCAGACUAAAGAAGACUAAAGAGGGAUGAAAACCAAAAGCAGUGUUUUGAUCUUGGGUUGGAUUCUUUUGCAAGGACAUUAUUGGGACAAUUGCUGAAACUUGAAUGGAGUACAUUGAUGCGACUGUAGUAAAACGUCAUUGUCAGUGUCCUAGUUUGGAUGGUUGUAUUAUACUUAGGUAAGGAAAUGUUGCUGUUUGUGAGAAAUACACACAGUAAACUAUUCUCGUGGGCAACAGGGCAUGUUGUUGGCAACAUACUCUUAAAUGGCUCAAGGCAAAAAAAAAUUUUUUUGCCCUUGUCUUGCAAUUUUUCUGUAAGUUUAACAUUAUUUCAAAAUAAAAAGAAAAGGAAAAA